rnacentral:misc_RNA from 1 species
AUUAUGGAUUUGAUGUUGGGCAGGUAGGACUUGCGUAGCAAGUUCUACUUGUCGUUCACAACAACAAUUGUUCGAUGUAGCAAUGCAUCGUUACACACUUGCUUGCUUUUGUUUGACAGAUUAGUUAUCAUAUAAUAUCA